CUCCCAAACUACUGGGAUUACAGACAUGAACCACCGCUCCUGCUAGUGUUUUUAAAUAAAGGGGAAAAUAUAAUGAUAGGCAGAGAUGUUUUGGAAAGUAUUUUCAUGGCAAGUGCCUAAAAGUAGGAGUCAGAGAAACCUAAGUCCAUGAGUUGGCCAAGAGACUGAAAAGACCCUCAAGAGAAAAGAUGGGAUGGGAGGAAGGCAGCUGGCAUCACAGCCAAGGCAGCACCACAAUGUGCUGGAACUCCCCAGCAUUCUGACCCAAUGACCUACUUCGUGCAAUGCUGGGAGUGCUGUAGAACACAGCAAAGUGUAACAACAGAGCCUUAUAAGUGCAAAACACCCUGUGCCUAUGGGCCCUUAAUUGAGAACUGCUUGUACUUUCACCAGAUGAUUGGAUUAACAGCAGCGCUUGCCCUAUGGCAGGAAGCGUGACUAUUUUCUCAGAGUAAAAGAGGCACUAAUUUUGGGACUUGGCCCUGGCUCACAUAGGAAGGGGGCGGGAGAGUCUGACUCUACUGACAAUGGAAGUCCAGCCAGGAGGGCAAAGAACAAUGUCCUCAGGUAAAGCCAUUCGUGUCCGGCACAUCUGUGGCUUGGUGGUGACUUCCAUUCACCAACCAGCCUGGGUUUUGGGGACAGGCUCUCAAGUCCCAAGGAGAGAGUAGGCAGAUGCAAGGCAAAGCUCUCAUGCCAGAAGAAGUAUGGAGAGUGGGCCUGGCAGUACCGUAUGAUGCCUGCUGUCUUGAUAUAAUGAUAAAUAACAUGCUUUUUUGUCCUCAACAGGCUCCUACUUAGGACAAUAAAUUAUAUGUCAUUUUUGGCACGGAAUACUUGGAAGAAUCCCCAGAAAAACAACUUUGCAACAGGAACCAAGGCAAAAGCCAGCUUUAUAAACUGGGGCAAGAAAGAAUCAAGGGGGAAAAAGAAAAGAAAAGAAACCAGAGGCUUCCAGUCAGGUUGAACAGUGUAAACAAGCUCGGUUGAUCCAUCUAAAGUCAUCAUGAUAAUCCCAUUCUCCUUGCCAAUGAUUGGUCCACGGAUGGCUGAUGAAAUAUGCAGAAGAAUGCAAUGGGACACCAGAGAACUUGCUUGCUCUCUCUCUAUGCCAUGUGAGGACACAAUGAGAAGAUGGCCAUUUCCAAGCCAGAAAGAGAGUCCUCACUUCACCUUACCAGCGUGGCACCCUGCUCUUGGACUUCCAAUCUCCAAAACUGUAAGAAAAUAAAUUUCCGUAUUUUGUUAUGUCAACCUGAGCUGACUGACAAAAAGGACUUAAUGGGCCCAAUGCGGAGGCUCAUGCCCAUAAUCCCAGCACUUUGGGAGGCUGAUGCAGGCAGAUGACCUGAGGUCGGGAGCUUGAGACCAGUCUGACCAACAUGGAGAA